rfam:Harpegnathos saltator strain R22 G/1 HarSal_1.0_3.contig8551, whole genome shotgun sequence.
GUCAACGGUCAUAUCACGCUGAAAACACCAGUUCUCGUCCGAUCACUGCAGUUAAGCAGCGUUGGGCACGGUUAGUACUUGGAUGGGGGACCACUUGGGAACACCGUGUCCUGUUGGUA